UCCAACCCUGGAGAGAGAGGGAGGGUGACUGGGUGGGCCCUGGAGAGAGAGAGAGGGUGACUGGGUGGGCCCUGGAGAGAGAGGGAGGGUGACUGGGUGGGCCCUGGAGAGAGAGAGAGGGUGACUGUCCAACCCUGGAGAGAGAGGGAGGGUGACUGGGUGGGCCCUGGAGAGAGAGAGAGGGUGACUGUCCAACCCUGGAGAGAGAGGGAGGGUGACUGGGUGGGCCCUGGAGAGAGAGAGAGGGUGACUGGGUGGGCCCUGGAGAGAGAGGGAGGGUGACUGGGUGGGCCCUGGAGAGAGAGAGAGGGUGACUGUCCAACCCUGGAGAGAGAGGGAGGGUGACUGGGUGGGCCCUGGAGAGAGAGAGAGGGUGACUGGGUGACUAUUGGAAAGCCUUCCCAGAAGAGUGGAGGCUGUUAUAGCAGCAAAGGGGGGGGUCCAACUCCAUAUUAAUUACUUCCCUGAAGAGUGGAGGCUGUUAAAGCAGCAAAGGUGGGGUCCAACUCCUUAUUAAUUACUUCCCUGAAGAGUGGAGGCUGUUAUAGCAGCAAAGUGGGGACCAACUCCAUAUUAAAGCCCAUGGUUUUGGAAUGAGA